AACGCGAAGAACCUUACCUACUCUUGACAUCCAGAGAACUUAGCAGAGAUGCUUUGGUGCCUUCGGGAACUCUGAGACAGGUGCUGCAUGGCUGUCGUCAGCUCGUGUUGUGAAAUGUUGGGUUAAGUCCUGCAACGAGCGCAACCCUUAUCCUUUGUUGCCAGCGGUCAGGCCGGGAACUCAAAGGAGACUGCCAGUGAUAAACUGGAGGAAGGUGGGGAUGACGUCAAGUCAUCAUGGCCCUUACGACCAGGGCUACACACGUGCUACAAUGGCAUAUACAAAGAGAAGCGACCUCGCGAGAGCAAGCGGACCUCAUAAAGUGCGUCGUAGUCCGGAUUGGAGUCUGCAACUCGACUCCAUGAAGUCGGAAACGCUAGUAAUCGUAGAUCAGAAUGCUACGGUGAAUACGUUCCCGGGUCUUGUACACACCG
rnacentral:rRNA from 2 species